GGGGCUGUGGCGCAGCUGGGAGCGCGUCUCAAUGGCAUUGAGAAGGUCAGGGGUUCGAAUCCCCUCAGCUCCACCA
rnacentral:tRNA from 2 species